AUUGAACGCUGGCGGCAGGCCUAACACAUGCAAGUCGAGCGGAUGAAGGGAGCUUGCUCCUGGAUUCAGCGGCGGACGGGUGAGUAACGCCUAGGAAUCUGCCUGGUAGUGGGGGAUAACGUCCGGAAACGGGCGCUAAUACCGCAUACGUCCUGAGGGAGAAAGUGGGGGAUCUUCGGACCUCACGCUAUCAGAUGAGCCUAGGUCGGAUUAGCUAGUUGGUGGGGUAAAGGCCUACCAUGGCGACGAUCCGUAACUGGUCUGAGAGGAUGAUCAGUCACACUGGAACUGAGACACGGUCCAGACUCCUACGGGAGGCAGCAGUGGGGAAUAUUGGACAAUGGGCGAAAGCCUGAUCCAGCCAUGCCGCGUGUGUGAAGAAGGUCUUCGGAUUGUAAAGCACUUUAAGUUGGGAGGAAGGGCAGUAAGUUAAUACCUUGCUGUUUUGACGUUACCAACAGAAUAAGCACCGGCUAACUUCGUG
rnacentral:rRNA from 1 species